CACGCCGUAAACGAUGAAUGCUAGGUGUUGGGGGCAAAGCCCUUCGGUGCCGCCGCAAACGCAGUAAGCAUUCCACCUGGGGAGUACGUUCGCAAGAAUGAAACUCAAAGGAAUUGACGG
rnacentral:rRNA from 1 species